GGUUUAGAAUAAUAUUUGAGUGCAAAUCAAAUGGUGGGUCUGAUGGCCCUUAAACC
rnacentral:tRNA from 1 species